rnacentral:lncRNA from 1 species
AUAACAUGUCCUAGAGCAGGGAUUCUGAAUCUUUUUUCUGUCAUAGGCUCUCUUUACAAUCCAAGGAAGCCAAUGGACCCCUUCUUUAGAAUCCUGUUUUCUUCCUACAUUAAUGAUGUAAAGAAAUGCUAAGUUGCAAUUAAAGAUUUAUUGGAGUACCAGGACAAGGCAGAAGUCAGAAUGACUGGAGAUGGUGUGGGAUGCAGUGCAUGAACAAAUAGAAGGGAAAGAAAUGAAGGUGGACGACCUUAGCUCCAUGACUUCUCUGAACAGUAUAAAGAAAACACCUGUGCCAAAGAUUUUUUAUAUUUGCUUAGUGCAAGGUCUCUUCCACCCCUUCCCCAGGAGAACCAUCCCCCAGGAAUUCACAAGCCUUACCCAGGUGAUUAUCAGAGAAGACCACAAAAGAAAGUAAGCAUCUUUACUGAGGCUUAAAGGAAGGCAAGGAUUCUGAAUGUCAGAGUUGAAGAGAAAGUGCAUUUCUGGAGAGGGAUCAACUGCCCCUGAAUGUACAACAUGAUUGGCAAGUGCCCUACCUGAAAGAGAAGAUCUCAGGAUCUCCAAGAUAACUCUGGUCUCCAAAUUAUAUUGCUAAGAGAGUCCAUAAUCAGUGAGAAUUUAUGGCAUCCAGAAGUCAGUGAAGUAUUAAAGAUGACUG